rnacentral:rRNA from 1 species
UGUUGUGAAAUGUUGGGUUAAGUCCCGCAACGAGCGCAACCCUUAUCCUUUGUUGCCAGCGGUCCGGCCGGGAACUCAAAGGAGACUGCCAGUGAUAAACUGGAGGAAGGGGGGGAUGACGUCAAGUCAUCAUGGCCCUUACGACCAGGGCUACACACGUGCUACAAUGGCGCAUACAAAGAGAAGCGACCUCGCGAGAGCAAGCGGACCUCAUAAAGUGC